AAAGAUGAAAGAAUACAUUGCUCUGAAAUCAAAAUAAGAUGAAGGCGAUCGCUUCAAUUUUCAUGGUGAUGCUACUUCUUUCAACCAGCAUUGAAAAUGAAGGAGCAUUGAAAAUAGUGGAAGGAACAAGGGUUGAGAAAACGUUGUACGAGAUUUGCGUAGAAAUAAUGUACAAACAAUGUCAAGACAAUGACAAGUGUUUCACUGUUUGUCGCAAGAAAUAUGGCAACUUAGCAAGUGGUGUAUGUAAUUACAAAGAAGAAUGUGUAUGUCGUCACCCUUGUUAAGUCUUUCGUCUUCUUCCAAUAACAAUUUCAAUCUUCGUAUGUAAAUUAGUGUUCGAUCCUUCAAAUAAAAUUACUCCUUUUUAUAUUA